UAAUAAGUGUUUUAUGGCACUUUUUAAAUCCAUAUCCACCUUGUGUGCAAUGUCAGUCGAUCUUCUUCAUGGAGAUCGACCAAACAUCAACCUUUAUCUUUUAACAUCUUUGUCUGAAAAAUAUUAUGAAUAAACAAUUCAAAAUA
rnacentral:misc_RNA from 1 species